CUCUCUCUCUUGGUCUUCUCCCUCUUUUAGAUUUUGCAAGAAAACAACACCUGAAAGAUUCAAAUAAUUCUCAAGGUUUUUGUGAAAUUUGUUGAAGAAACAUUGUAUUAGCAUAUUCGAAGGACACUUACCCUAGAAGAAGGUACGGAUUUUCGUUUUAGGUUUUUUUCUUUUGCUUUCCCAGUUAUGGUUGAACUGAUUUUUUGGGGGUUCUUUAACACGAUGAACUUAAAGGAUUAAGGGCACGGUUUUAACUAAAAAUAAGGUGUAUUUUAUGGAUUAGUGACAAUUUUCAGGAUUCGUUCAAAGUAGAGAAUUUUGUCGAUCUUAGUGUUGUUUGAUUUUAGGGGUUUAUGUUUACUUUCAAAUAGCAGAUCUAAUUUUUUGCAUUGAUAUAUAAAUAGCAGGCGUAAUACCUCGUUUGAAUUCUCAACUUUAUUGAUUUUUUUAGUUUUUCCAUAGUAACAGAUUUCUCAACCGGUAUGACAUUUUAGGCUUGGACUUAAAAUGAUUUUUUUUUUUAAUGAACCUGUAAUGUUUUUUUUUUUCUUUUGCAGAGUGUAUAUUUUCUCCAACUCAGAUUAAAAACAAAUAUUAUGCAAAGUCUGUAAAUCAUUGUUUUUAGAUUGCGGUUCAUUAGAGUUUUAUUUUGAUUUAGGAUUUCUUUUAGAUUUUAGGGAUUUUCACUCUUUUUU
rnacentral:lncRNA from 1 species